UGACCGAUUUACAGUGAUUGAAUUUUGAGUGAUUUUCUUGAUUGGUUUAAGAACAUCUUUAUUGUGAGCGAUUUAAGCAUGGAGGUAAGCGAUUUGUUGAGCGAUUUACAGCUAGUAUUGAUCGAUUUAGACUUAUAGCUUAAUCGAUUUAGGAAUCUGAUUGAUCGAUUUAGAGAUUAAUUUUGAGCUAUUUUACAGAAUCUGCUUGAGCGAUUUAGUUGACUGCUUGAUCGAUUUAGUUGAUUGCUUGAUCGAUUUAGCUGUCUGUUUGAGCGAUUUAUAGAAUAGGCUUGAGCGAUUUGAGAAAGUGUUUGAGCGGUUUAGAUAAUAGGUUUGAGCGAUUAAGGAUCCAGAUUAAGCGAUUUAGGGUUUAAUUCGCAGAUAACUUGAGUGGUCAAGGGACUUGACAGCUUGAUCGAUUUUUACCUAAAUUGAUUGAGUAUCCGAUUCAGUCACCAUCUCCAAGGUCGUCCGGACAUCUUCAUCGGAUAACAGCAGUGCUUGACCGUAUUUGACUACUUUGUACAAGGCUGUAUGGAACUUCACUGUAAAUGUUGUUGUCGCUAACAUCCAGUUGCUUCAAGUGAUGGAGAUUAUUGAGCUGGUAACCAAGGUUUCCACUAAUGUUUAGACUGUCAAGUUUGAUUUGAAUGAUUGAAGAACCAACACAGGAAACGGGUUUGCUUUCUGGGAUUAUGAGCAGCAGCAAGAUGGCAUGAAAGGAAACAGAUGGAGGAUUUCAUUUUAGGCAGACAGUUUGAUUUUGAAUAGGAGGUGAAUAAAGAUUAAGAGCUUCGAUCGUCUGUUGUAAAGAAUGUUGCUGGAAGAUUGAAGUUUUUAUGAAGAAGAGCAAGUGUGGAGUCUGUUGUGGAGUCCAAGAGUGGGGAUAUUAAGCAGAAUAAGCAGCUGAUGAAAUCCCAUGAAGCCUGGCGUUAAUGUGAACCAACUGAAGUGCAUUGUGAGCAAGGUUUUCAACAGGAAGCAUCUGUGCAAUUUUUUUUAAUCUGAAUGUUUAAAACGGCCUUCACUUUAAGCUUUGACUUUUAGGAGUUUUAUUAGGCCUGUGAACUACUCACUGUCUUGGUCUAUGCUGUUGAUCUUAAUACAGAAUCACAGAGACACAGAGACACAAUGGUAGAUGGUCUAUGCUGAAAUGGUUUUCGAGGGGAAUUUAGUGGAGUGCAUGAUAUGGGAAGAAUCAGCUGUUGUUACUGCAUCAAUCAAUACUGUUGAGAUGAUUAAUCCAUUAUAUGAGCAAGCCAUUUUACUUGUUAA